rnacentral:rRNA from 1 species
GAUGAACGCUGGCGGCGUGCCUAAUACAUGCAAGUCGAGCGAACGGACGAGAAGCUUGCUUCUCUGAUGUUAGCGGCGGACGGGUGAGUAACACGUGGAUAACCUACCUAUAAGACUGGGAUAACUUCGGGAAACCGGAGCUAAUACCGGAUAAUAUUUUGAACCGCAUGGUUCAAAAGUGAAAGACGGUCUUGCUGUCACUUAUAGAUGGAUCCGCGCUGCAUUAGCUAGUUGGUAAGGUAACGGCUUACCAAGGCAACGAUGCAUAGCCGACCUGAGAGGGUGAUCGGCCACACUGGAACUGAGACACGGUCCAGACUCCUACGGGAGGCAGCAGUAGGGAAUCUUCCGCAAUGGGCGAAAGCCUGACGGAGCAACGCCGCGUGAGUGAUGAAGGUCUUCGGAUCGUAAAACUCUGUUAUUAGGGAAGAACAUAUGUGUAAGUAACUGUGCACAUCUUGACGGUACCUAAUCAGAAAGCCACGGCUAACUACGUGCCAGCAGCCGCGGUAAUACGUAGGUGGCAAGCGUUAUCCGGAAUUAUUGGGCGUAAAGCGCGCGUAGGCGGUUUUUUAAGUCUGAUGUGAAAGCCCACGGCUCAACCGUGGAGGGUCAUUGGAAACUGGAAAACUUGAGUGCAGAAGAGGAAAGUGGAAUUCCAUGUGUAGCGGUGAAAUGCGCAGAGAUAUGGAGGAACACCAGUGGCGAAGGCGACUUUCUGGUCUGUAACUGACGCUGAUGUGCGAAAGCGUGGGGAUCAAACAGGAUUAGAUACCCUGGUAGUCCACGCCGUAAACGAUGAGUGCUAAGUGUUAGGGGGUUUCCGCCCCUUAGUGCUGCAGCUAACGCAUUAAGCACUCCGCCUGGGGAGUACGACCGCAAGGUUGAAACUCAAAGGAAUUGACGGGGACCCGCACAAGCGGUGGAGCAUGUGGUUUAAUUCGAAGCAACGCGAAGAACCUUACCAAAUCUUGACAUCCUUUGACAACUCUAGAGAUAGAGCCUUCCCCUUCGGGGGACAAAGUGACAGGUAGUGCAUGGUUGUCGUCAGCUCGUGUCGUGAGAUGUUGGGUUAAGUCCCGCAACGAGCGCAACCCUUAAGCUUAGUUGCCAUCAUUAAGUUGGGCACUCUAAGUUGACUGCCGGUGACAAACCGGAGGAAGGUGGGGAUGACGUCAAAUCAUCAUGCCCCUUAUGAUUUGGGCUACACACGUGCUACAAUGGACAAUACAAAGGGCAGCGAAACCGCGAGGUCAAGCAAAUCCCAUAAAGUUGUUCUCAGUUCGGAUUGUAGUCUGCAACUCGACUACAUGAAGCUGGAAUCGCUAGUAAUCGUAGAUCAGCAUGCUACGGUGAAUACGUUCCCGGGUCU